GAUGAACGCUGGCGGCGUGCCUAAUACAUGCAAGUCGAGCGAACGGACGAGAAGCUUGCUUCUCUGAUGUUAGCGGCGGACGGGUGAGUAACACGUGGAUAACCUACCUAUAAGACUGGGAUAACUUCGGGAAACCGGAGCUAAUACCGGAUAAUAUUUUGAACCGCAUGGUUCAAAAGUGAAAGACGGUCUUGCUGUCACUUAUAGAUGGAUCCGCGCUGCAUUAGCUAGUUGGUAAGGUAACGGCUUACCAAGGCAACGAUGCAUAGCCGACCUGAGAGGGUGAUCGGCCACACGGGAACUGAGACACGGUCCAGACUCCUACGGGAGGCAGCAGUAGGGAAUCUUCCGCAAUGGGCGAAAGCCUGACGGAGCAACGCCGCGUGAGUGAUGAAGGUCUUCGGAUCGUAAAACUCUGUUAUUAGGGAAGAACAUAUGUGUAAGUAACUGUGCACAUCUUGACGGUACCUAAUCAGAAAACCACGGCUAACUACGU
rnacentral:rRNA from 1 species